GGGGCUGCGCAGCUACACUUGCAGUCGUACAGGUAACCACAGAAGCUUGCUGCUUUGCUGACGAGUGGCGGACGGGUGAGUAAUGUCUGGGAAACUGCCCGAUGGAGGGGGAUAACUACUGGAAACGGUAGCUAAUACCGCAUAAUGUCGCAAGACCAAAGAGGGGGACCUUCGGGCCUCUUGCCAUCGGAUGUGCCCAGAUGGGAUUAGCUAGUUGGUGAGGUAACGGCUCACCAAGGCGACGAUCCCUAGCUGGUCUGAGAGGAUGACCAGCCACACUGGAACUGAGACACGGUCCAGACUCCUACGGGAGGCAGCAGUGGGGAAUAUUGCACAAUGGGCGCAAGCCUGAUGCAGCCAUGCCGCGUGUAUGAAGAAGGCCUUCGGGUUGUAAAGUACUUUCAGCGGGGAGGAAGGGGUUAAGGUUAAUAACCUUAGCCAUUGACGUUACCCGCAGAAGAAGCACCGGCUAACUCCGAGCCAGCAGCCGCGGUAAUACGGAGGGUGCAAGCGUUAAUCGGAAUUACUGGGCGUAAAGCGCACGCAGGCGGUCUGUCAAGUCGGAUGUGAAAUCCCCGGGCUCAACCUGGGAACUGCAUUCGAAACUGGCAGGCUUGAGUCUCGUAGAGGGGGGUAGAAUUCCAGGUGUAGCGGUGAAAUGCGUAGAGAUCUGGAGGAAUACCGGUGGCGAAGGCGGCCCCCUGGACGAAGACUGACGCUCAGGUGCGAAAGCGUGCGGAGCAGACAGGAUUAGAUACCCUGGUAGUCCACGCCGUAAACGAUGUCUAUUUGGAGGUUGUGCCCUUGAGGCGUGGCUUCCGGAGCUAACGCGUUAAAUAGACCGCCUGGGGAGUACGGCCGCAAGGUUAAAACUCAAAUGAAUUGACGGGGGCCCGCACAAGCGGUGGAGCAUGUGGUUUAAUUCGAUGCAACGCGAAGAACCUUACCUGGUCUUGACAUCCACAGAACUUGGCAGAAAUGCCUUGGUGCCUUCGGGAACUGUGAGACAGGUGCUGCAUGGCUGUCGUCAGCUCGUGUGUGAAAGGUGGGUUAAGUCCGCAACGAACGCAACCCUUAUCCUUUGUUGCCAGCGGUCCGGCCGGGAACUCAAAGGAUACUGCCGUGAUAAACUGGAGAAAGUGGGGA
rnacentral:rRNA from 1 species